rnacentral:rRNA from 1 species
CAACACGGAGACGCAGCGCACAGCUCAGUAACACGUGGCUAAUCUGCCCUUGGGACCGGAACACCCCCGGGAAACUGGGGCUAAUUCUCGAUAGGUGAAGAACUCUGGAAUGAGUCUUUGCCAAAAAGACGUUUACGUUAUGCUCGUAGGCGUCGCCCAAGGAUGAGGCCGCGACCGAUCAGGUUGUUGGUGAGGUAAUGGCUCACCAAGCCUUUUACCGGUGCGGGCCGUGAGAGCGGGAGCCCGGAGAUGGGCACUGAGACAAGGGCCCAGGCCCUACGGGGCGCAGCAGUCGCGAAAACUUUGCAAUACACGAAAGUGUGACAGGGCUAUCCCGAGUGCCAUCCGCUGAGGAAGGCUUUUACCCAGUCUAGAACGCUGGGGGAAUAAGGAGAGGGCAAGUCUGGUGUCAGCCGCCGCGGUAAUACCAGCUCUCCGAGUGGUGUGGAUGUUUAUUGGGCCUAAAGCAUCCGUAGCUGGCUAAGUUAGUCCCCUGUUAAAUCCACUGAAUUAAUCGUUGGAUUGCGGGGGAUACUGCUUGGCUAGGGGACGAGAGAGGCAGACGGUAUUUCCGGGGUAGGGGUGAAAUCCUAUAAUCCCGGGAAGACCACCAGUGGCGAAGGCUGUCUGCUAGAACGCGCCCGACGGUGAGGGAUGAAAGCUGGGGGAGCGAACCGGAUUAGAUACCCGGGUAGUCCCAGCUGUAAACGAUGCAGGCUAGGUGUUUGGACGGCCACGUGCCGUUCUAGUGCCGCAGGGAAGCUGUUAAGCCUGCCGCCU